GCGGCAGCGAGCGGCCGCCGUAGCCCCUGCGAGGGGAGCCCGUGCCCGGGCGGGGAGGAAGAGAAAGGCGGCCCGAGCCGGGUUACAAGAUGGCGGCGGCGCUGUGGUAGCUGCUGAGGCGGAGCGGCGCCAGCGAGGCCCGGGCCGGGGCGCGGCGGCGCUGACUCGCCAUGGGAAGCGGCGCGUUAAAGGCCCCGCGGUGCCCCUGAGCGGCCCGGCGGCCCCGCUUGCUCCCCGCCGCCCUCGCUCCAUCGCCCCCGCGGAGGCGGAGCGGGCCCGGGGCUGCACCAUGUCGGACACCCGCCGGCGGGUGAAGGUCUACACGCUCAACGAGGAUCGGCAAUGGGACGACAGGGGCACCGGGCACGUCUCCUCCAGCUACGUGGAGCGGCUGAAGGGGAUGUCGCUGCUGGUGCGCGCCGAGUCGGACGGUUCACUACUGUUAGAAUCGAAGAUAAAUCCAAAUACUGCAUAUCAGAAACAGCAGGACACCCUGAUUGUUUGGUCAGAAGCAGAGAACUAUGAUUUAGCACUGAGUUUUCAAGAAAAAGCUGGCUGUGAUGAAAUUUGGGAAAAAAUCUGCCAGGUUCAGGGUAAGGAUCCUUCGGUGGAAGUCACGCAGGACCUUAUUGAGUCAGAAGAGGAACACAUCGAGGAAAUGCCUGAAACCAGUCCUCUGAUUGACCUUCCUACUUGUGAACUCAACAAACUUGAAGAGAUUGCUGACCUAGUUACCUCUGUUCUUUCCUCACCCAUCCGUAGGGAAAAGCUGGCGCUGGCCUUGGAGAAUGAAGGCUACAUUAAAAAACUGCUGCAGCUUUUCCAAGUCUGCGAGAAUUUAGAGAACACCGAAGGCUUGCAUCAUUUGUAUGAAAUUAUUAGAGGGAUUUUGUUCCUCAACAAAGCAACUCUGUUUGAGGUGAUGUUCUCUGAUGAGUGUAUUAUGGAUGUGGUUGGAUGCCUGGAGUAUGAUCCUUCUUUGGCUCAGCCAAAACGGCACAGGGAGUUCUUGACCAAAACAGCAAAAUUUAAGGAGGUUAUUCCUAUUACAGACUCUGAACUCAGGCAAAAAAUCCACCAGACUUACAGGGUACAGUACAUUCAGGACAUCAUCUUGCCGACACCAUCUGUUUUUGAAGAGAAUUUUCUUUCUACCCUCACUUCCUUUAUUUUCUUCAACAAAGUUGAGAUUGUCAGUAUGUUGCAGGAAGACGAGAAGUUUUUAUCAGAAGUUUUUGCACAAUUGACAGAUGAAGCUACAGACGAUGACAAACGGUGUGAACUGGUGAAUUUUUUCAAGGAAUUCUGCGCCUUUUCUCAGACGUUACAACCUCAGAACAGAGAUGCGUUUUUCAAAACUCUGGCAAAGUUGGGAAUUCUUCCCGCACUUGAAAUUGUAAUGGGAAUGGAUGAUCUGCAAGUUAGAUCUGCUGCUACAGAUAUAUUUUCUUAUCUAGUAGAAUUUAGCCCAUCCAUGGUCCGAGAAUUUGUGAUGCAAGAGGCCCAGCAGAGUGAUGAUGACAUCCUCCUCAUCAAUGUGGUCAUCGAGCAGAUGAUCUGUGACACGGAUCCGGAGCUCGGGGGAGCUGUUCAGUUAAUGGGGCUGCUGAGAACUCUGAUUGACCCAGAGAACAUGCUGGCCACAGCCAAUAAAACAGAAAAGAGCGAAUUUCUCAAUUUCUUCUACAACCAUUGUAUGCACGUUCUCACUGCGCCGCUGCUGGCCAACACAUCAGAGGAUAAAUGUGAAAAAGAUGCAGUAGUUGGAUCCACUAAGAGUAAUACAAUUUGUCCUGAUAAUUACCAAACAGCACAACUACUUGCCUUAAUUUUGGAGCUGCUUACUUUUUGUGUGGAACACCACACGUAUCACAUCAAGAAUUACAUUAUGAACAAAGAUUUGCUAAGAAGGGUACUGGUAUUGAUGAAUUCAAAACACACCUUUCUGGCCUUGUGUGCUCUUCGCUUUAUGAGGAGGAUAAUCGGCCUGAAAGAUGAAUUUUAUAACCGUUACAUCACCAAGGGAAACCUCUUUGAGCCAGUCAUCAACGCCCUGCUGGACAACGGCACUCGGUACAACCUGCUCAACUCUGCUGUGAUUGAGCUGUUUGAGUUCAUCAGAGUGGAAGAUAUUAAGUCCCUUAUUGCACAUAUAGUUGAAAACUUCUAUAAUGCACUUGAAUCUAUUGAGUAUGUCCAGACGUUCAAGGGGCUGAAGACAAAAUAUGAGCAGGAAAAGGACCGACAAAGCCAGAAGCUGAACAGUGUCCCAUCCAUAUUGCGUAGCAAUAGAUUCCGCAGGGAUGCCAGAGCCUUGGAGGAGGACGAAGAAAUGUGGUUCAAUGAAGACGAAGAGGAAGAAGGCGAAGCUGUUGUACCUCCAGUUGAGAAGUCAAAACAGGAGGAUGACUUUCCAGAUAGCUAUGAGAAAUUUAUGGAAACUAAAAAAGCUAAGGAGAGUGAAGACAAAGAGAAUCUUCCAAAACGGACUUCAGCUGGGGGAUUCAAAUUCACUUUUUCCCACUCAGCCAGCGCAGCCAACGGUGCGAACGGUGCAAACAGCAAAUCCGUGGCAGCUCAGACAUCACCAGCGAGCUCCAACGGCUCCUCCUCCAAGAGCACGGCCCUGAGCCCGGCGGUGCCGGCCCCCAAGGGAAGUCUAGUUGGGCUAGUGGAUUAUCCUGAUGAUGAAGAUGAUGAUGAAGAGGAGGAGACAUCUCCAAGGAAAAGACCUCGUCUGGGUUCAUAAAAGAAACCAAAACUUUGGAAUAAGAACUUUUAUGAUGGGGUUUCAAAUGCUGCAACUGUUUUAAGAGCUAAAAAGAAUCCGAUUCAGAAAGCUUUCUCCCAUGAGUAUAUAAGAUAAUACAAGGAGUAGCAAAAGAAACUCGGUGUAUCAGCUAGAAAGGGUUAGUUCUGUAAACACAAAGCUUCCAAGGAACUUAAUGUCUUUCUAGAAAGUAAGUAAGGAGUCUGCCAUUCAGGCUGUCAAAAAAAUGAAAAAUUAAAAAAAAAAAAAAGUGGGUUAGUAUUCUCAGAACCUGGAUGAUGGCUUCUCAGCAAGGAAAGUCUCAGGUGUCGGGAGGGAAAGGGGGAGGGAAAGGUAUGGUAACACUUUUUUUAAAAUAUUGCAGGGUUUCCCCAGUGUUUUAACAGAACUAGGAAAAAAAAAAUUCAAGCUUAAAUUCUGAACCCAGUAAUCUUAAUUUUGUAAUGGUGCUGUCAGUUGUGUUCUUUUAGCAAUGCCUCUUUUAAAAAAAUUUUAAGGGAAAACUAACUCUGUUUGCAUAAGAACAAUCCAUAUUUUGGGACCAUUUAUUACCAACUAAACUGCAUUUCUCAUGGUUGGAGGGGGAGGGAUGCUGCAGUUAUAGUGCAUGUUGAGUUGUUUAAAACAGUUAAAAUAAGUUUUAAUUUGUAUUUUCCAAGAGGAGAGAAUGGAAGCUGGAUUCAAAAUGGAAGGUUUUGCUUGUUUUGUCAGUGAGACGUCCAGAAAUAUCUAUGCCAAGGAGCAGUGGCUUCCCAAGGGUCCGCAGGAGCUGCUUGUGUCUCGGUGGGGCUGCACCCGGCACAUCCCUCAGCUGCUUGGGAAGAGCCCGAGUUCCAAGCGCGCUCCUCCGCGGUGUUCCAGGGGCUGCCUCCUCCCGGAGCAGCCGUUUCCCUGCUGGGGAGCUGGAAUUGCACGGCUGGGGAGGGAAUAAGCAACGCUCACAGGUUUUUCAUAGCGAUGGACCGAGCAGCAUUUUAACACCAAAGUCAGUCUGGACCAAGAGAACACCUUGAGGGCUCGGAGGCGGAAUCCACAAGCAGCGCCUCCACCUGGGGGUGGUACAAAAGCUGCUUUUUUAAAACACAAAAGCACAUUCCACAUAGGUGAGUGAACUGUGACAGGAACGGGGGAGUUCAUGGUGAGGUGACAGAGGCAAACAGUCCAGGUUUUAUAUUCAAGAGCAGCACAUGAACUGUAAAUAUUUAAUGUUAGUUUGCCCAUAUGUGAUCUGAGAUCAUGACUCAGUGAGAGGAGAUUUCCCAGCGACUGUGUCAGCGAUGUUAAAGAUGGAACCAGCUGCAAUCCACCACAUAGAUCACUCUUGUAAUAUGUGUUAUGGGUCCAUUUCUCCUGGAAUAGUUUAAACUGAAGCAGUUUCUCUGUUUUGGAGAUUUUUGUAGUUAGUUUUAAUUUUAGCUCUUGUUUGGAAAAAGAUGGGCUGUCUGUGUAGAUAUGAAGUAUAGUUUUUUCCAUAAAACAGAAGUUUAUUUUGUAUUAAAGAUACCACUGUACUUGUUUUACACCAUUUGUAUACAUGUGGUGAUAUUAAUGCUGAACUGUAAAAUUCAGGAAUUAAAAUGUGACCCUGUAAUUCCAUAAUUAUUGCUUUUGUUUGGUUUGUUCCACAUGGUAAGUGAGCUCAGAUUUUUCAGCGUGGCUGUUGUAGGGUAUUGUUUAAGGUUAGUUAUCCGUGCAGGUUUCAAAGUAACUCCAGACCACUGGAUGGAAUCCCAGAGGGAAAGGCUGAGCUCUUCCCAGUGUGUAAGCAAGACACAGGUGCUCUGCUGGACCUGGGGACAGUGCUGGUGCCUCUGGAGAGCUCCAGGCCACCCAGCACAGGACUGAGGGACCACCCAUCAGCCCCGGAGCCAAGGAGGUGUUUGCUGUAAAGAAGAUUGACAGGCCAUGAGAGCAGCAGGUACCUGGGAAGUGCCUUGGCUCACCUGAGGAGGAGAAGUGGCAUCACCCGGAGCGUGGAGCCGCGUUCCCGAUUCUCCAGCAGCCUCCCAAGCCGAGUUCUCCAGGGGAGCCCGAGGAGUGCCGGUCCUUGCUCUGCUCCCCAGCACGCCCACACUGCUGCAGUACAGCAGGAGCUUUAAAAACACUCAAACUGGAGGUGUUUCACAGCAAAACCAAGAAUGUAAUGAAUUUUUAUAGUUCCUAGGAAAGGACUGGGUGCAGUGGCAGUAGAGAUCCCGUUAAACACCAGCCUGCAAUCCCAGGAGAAGGUGGGCUGGCACCCCACAGUGCUGGUUCCCAGUGUGCCCUCCUGGGCAGCUGUGCUUGUUCUCCUGUCUGCAAUUCCACUGCCACUCUUUUGGGGCAAGAACAGAACAUUUGCCAACGUGUACCAGUUAUAAAUGCUAUUUUAAUAAAAAUUCCAUGAAACUCAAA